AGUGUGUAAGUUGAAAUAUAAGAAAUGCUGCCAUACCGGUUUGUGUACACCGACUGUGCGGUUGACUUUUAAGUGCUUUAGAUUAGUGAAUUCUGUGAAUAUGACAGAAGAUAUAAUAUCAUGGUUGAAACGACCAAUAUGUGCAAAAAAAUAUAUAUGAGUUUCAUUUUCGUUAAAAUCAUAGAAAUAAUCUGCUAAGAUUAUCAUUUUUCAUCUUAAUAUUCAUUUUACAUCGCGUUGUUAAAAUUAAAAUUUUUACUCGACGGAAAUUAUGUUACAGUAUCAUAUGUGUGUUAGAAUACAUUUUUUAUCAAUAUUAAUUCUGUCACUCUAAAAUUUUAUUUCAUUUGAUAACCCUUUAACUUGUGUGAUAUAGUGGGGAAAAAGAUAAUGUAAAUAAUCAUUUUUAAUUUUAAAUAAAAUUAUGUGAGUCACAAUAAACAUAAUUUUAAAUAGUUCACUAAAUUUGUCGCUUCACGCAAUUAUUAUUCUGACACUUUUUUCAAUUUUGAAAACACGGAAAAUUACAUAGCUAAUUAGUAAAUUAUAUUGCUGGUAUUUUUUUGUUUUUGCCUAAAGUAAAAUACAAGGGUAAUACCGUUUCAAAACGGUUUCGUAUUACUAAAUUAUUUUAUAAAACUAAGUGCAGCGCAUGCUUUAAUUAAUGACGAAUGAGGUAUGUUUUAUAUGAUUCAACAGUACUGUAAAUGCAAUAUCAAAUUUUUGUUUCAAAAAAAGUUAUGUCGUCUUUUAAAUGGUUUGAUAUCCAUACGUUGUUAAAGUUAUUCCUAACAAGUGUUAGUUGCAAAGUUUUUGAAAAUUGAAAGUAAAUUUUCAAUAUGCGUACUUGCAUACAUGAAUAUUCUGUGGUACCAACAGUCAUAACAACAGCAAACCAAAAAAAAUUGUGGAAUAAACAUGUGCAGGUGUUACAUUAAUUAAGAUAUUUAUGUUGUGCAUAUAUAAGGAACUCGAUGAUCGUUAAAGUGAACGCGUAUGAGAGGGAGCCAAACCCAAGGUCAAAUUGUUUUAGCAUUUUAAUAACGGAAAAAAUAAUAACAUCUCUUAAAAAAACAUUUCAUUCACUUUACUAAUAUAAUAAAACCGCUAAUGGUAAUAUCUUUAUGGUAAUCUCUAAUAUGUAGAAAGGACCUAAUAGACAUGUUAGUGUGCACUCCCCUCUAUACCAACGGUUAUAUCUAAAGGGGUUAAUCUUGUACUCGGAGUGCUUUUCUGACACUAUAUAUUUGCCAGAGGAUGCUCAUCGGCCAUUUUUUCUGUUUCUAUUUAAGUGGAAUUAAAUAAAUUUAACUCUCGCUAUGUGCUAAGACUAGCUUAUAUAUUGGCAUCGUAUCUCAGUGACGGAAACUAAAUAACUGCGAUUUAUAAAUGAUAGAGCUAAAAUUUUGUGCAAAUAAUUUGGUUUACCUCUUACCUUCGACACUUAUUGUUUAACAUUAAUGAUAUAUUGCAAUAGAAAAAUCUAAUUUUCUUAUUUACGCCGAUAAUACAAAGUCACUGAAAAUUAUGGAAAAGCACUAAUGACUUAAAAUUUUGAAAAUUAUUAGAAUAUAUAAAAGCAGUACUCUAAAUUUAACAACCGAUACAGAAUUUAGAGACGUAGGCGUCUUCUUAAUUAUUGUAUCUAAUUGGAGAAACAUGUGUACAGAAUAAUUUCAAUAGCUCAUUAUGUCAGGGAAAUUAUUUUAAAAAUAUUAUUACUCAUUCUCUUUGAUAUAAUUAGUAUUUACGAUCUACCCUCGAAUUCGUUUCAAUGUCCUGAAGUGAACAAUAUAUUACAGAAAUAGAAAAGUAAAAAUAUAUAGGGAAUACAUUGGUAAAUUUUUUCCUUAUAAGUUACAUACGAAAUCGCAUAUGCACAAUUUAAUUGGACUAUAAUUUAUAUCACGAUGGACCCGGCACCCGCACGGUGAAUCCAUGGAAUGCUGAGAGGUUUUGUCUCAUUUAUGAAACAUGUCAUUUGAUAUUUAUUAUAGGAGUUUAAAUCAAGUAAUUUUUCAGUAUUCUUAACCCCAGUGUGCAUCGUCACAAUAAAUACGAAGCGUUCACCGUUUCUCAUAAAAUAACCGACGUUAAUAAUACUAUAAUGUAAGAAGAUUUAUGAAUGAAAAACUGCUAACGCUCCGUAUAAUGUCAACUAAGACUAAGCAUCCAGGAGUAACGAGCAAAUUUACGUAAUAUAUUGUAUGAACAUUAUGUUCCUAUUGCGAAAAUGGAGUGCAUGUUUCUCACUUUAAAAUUAUUAUUAACCAACAAGCUAAAUCACAAUUUACUUUGAAAGUGAUAAAUAAAUAUUGAAUAAAUUAUUAUAAUUAUAACAAUAAAUGCUUACAGACAUUUUGAUUAAAAAAAUGUCUGCCUUUCUGGGUUAGACUUCCACCUCUAGAGUUUUUAAGUAUGCUUUAAGAAAAGGCGGUAUAUAGAAUUAAGGAUAUUGUCAUCUUACAUCUAAUGCUAAGGCCAUCAUAAUCGGAUGCUUAACGAGAGACGGCCAAUCGUUAUUGAAAAGAAAAUAUAUAUAUAAGCGAUCUCAUUAAAUAUUGUUAUUUUGGUGAUUAUAAUUUCAGCGUCGAUUGUUUAAAGUUAAAUUUCAAAUACAAAAUUCUAAAAAAACAUGUAAUUUUUUUUUGACAUCAUUUAGUAACAACUAUGGCCAACUACCCCGGACUUACCCAAUAAUAAAAGUCUAGAUAGUACAAACGAAGGAAAUUAUCUCAUUCGUUUAACGAAAAACUAACAUUUUACUUCAAAAGGCAAUUAUUAUAUUGUAAUAUUUUUGUUUUAUUAUUACGAGCUUUUGAUUAAACGUAAAGAUUCUUUUUUUAUUUAUAAACUAAGUACUAGCCCCGGCUUUGCACGGGGUCUUUACAAAAAAUAAGAAAUAGCCUAUUUCAUUUAUUGAAUAAUUAAACUUAUAUUAUGAUAAGUUUCAAAUGGUACGCCCGAUUUAAAUCAUUUAAAGUAUAAUUUACAGAUACUGAUGUAGGCUUUAAAACGAAGUAAUUUAUUUUGAUAAGACUUAAUACCGUAUUUAUGUAAAUAGCUUUCCAAUAAACGCUUUAGGAAUGCCAAUUGAUAAAAGUUGUAAAAUGUAUAUAGUACGUUAAGGAAUAGACAUAUGCCACCGCGGACUUUUCUGUAGAUCUAUAUAAGAUACACAAUUCCACCAUAUAUUAUUUUAUUAUAUCUCAAAGACUUUAGACAGCAUUUUCGUUAAAAGCUCUCAGACGGCUCAUGUUUUCCCGACAUCUUCAACAAAUAUCGUUAAUGUAAACACAAGUUAAUACAAAAAUUUAACAUAUUAUAUACUAAAACCUUUCUCAAGAAUCACGCUAUCGAGUGGUGAUAACUCUUUGAUAAAUAAUCGGUGAAGUAGUUUUUCUAUUUAUCGCGAACAGACAGACGCGGCGAGGGACUUUGUUUUAUAAGAUGUAUUGAUUGACCGAUGUCAUAUCAUAAUACUCUUAUAAAAAAUACUUAGUUUUUACUAUAAAAUUAUAUAUUUUUUCUUCAUAAUAUAGAAAUAAUACAUUUAAAGUAAAAUUAAUUCAUUAUUUUUUUAAUGUUUUGAAUACAUUGGGGGCUUAUAUCUCGAUAAGGAACUAAAAAAUAUGAGUACCUAUUUUGAUAGUACUCGGUCCCACCAAUAUAACGACGUCCAUCUCUACGAGUUGAAGCUAAAUGGAUAAUAUGAUUUUCCGGUCUCAAUCAGAACAAGAUUCUUUUGGCAUUCUGCAACUAAAUGUUAUUCGGAAGUUGUAGAUUGAAUGAUUAGAAUAAGAUUAGGAUAAGAAUUCUGUAGUCAGAUGUAACAUCAGGUGAGGACUGUGUAGGUUGACGUUUUAGCUUUUAUUUUUAUUAGAGGUUUUUAUCAAAGGUACAAAAAAUACAUAAGACAUAGUACAUGUUAUUCAGAGGUUACAGGUCUUUUUUUGGAUAAUUUUGAAGAUAAGUUAUAAAAAUAACCAGUUUUUCUACUAUAAACAAUAGCUACUGAACCUGCUACUUCAAAAUUCCAUUGAUAUCUGUGCAUAUUAAAGCUACAUUGUUUUUGUUUGAUAUUAGUCAGUUGGUUAGUUAAUAGUUGUCAAUAUGUGGAACUGAUUUCAUUUAAUAUAUCAAAUAAUCACUUUGACCUCGCUUUGGAAAAUAGUGUUUACCAAAAUCCUUUUCUGUGCUCUUUAUGAUAAAUAUAAAAAUGGGAAGGAUAAAGUCAAAAAUGACAAAAGGAUAAUAUAAAAGUUUAUAAACGUUAAAUAAUUUUAUUGUAUAUAGUAAUUGACGUUGGUAUAAAUCAUGUUUUAUAUCUACAAUAUGAUUUGUUUUUAAUUGUAAUGAAUGUGAACACGGAAAAUUACCGUUUUUAUAUGACGGUAAUAAUUCAAUAGAUAUCACAAAAGUACAAUAUGUACAUCAUAACAAUACCAUUGUCGUUUUUUAGUCAAAUAUUAUUUUAGAACUAAGGCCAAAUACAUCAUUCACACCGUUUCAAUAUUCCAAAUAGUAUGGAAUAUUUAAUAUUAUAAAAAAACAGAAAAAACAGAAAAUUUUCACUUUUCCCACAUUUGAUAUAAAACUAAAAAAAUAAUCACAAAUAAACUCUUAACCAGUGGAAUUUUUGUAAAAAACAUAUUUUAUAAGAAUUAUGAUAUUUUACUGUUUGAUUGUAUUUUUAAUAAAAUGGGGUAGGUAAUAUUCAUAAAUUUGUACAUAAGCUUAAGGCUUACGGUUUACAAGAAGGGUUUCAUUGAGAAACCAACAUACACAAAAACCAAGCCAUGAAGUUCAACAAGUAUAACGAGCUCGCUAACGAACUCACUAAGCAUAGGUUUGUCGGAAAUUUGUACGCGGUAGAAGUGGGAGCGAGAGUUAUAAUAGCUAAAUCUUUCUUCAAUACAGCAAAAAUCUUGGGCCUAUCUGUUCAUUCAUGGAACGUACUUCGACGGGAGCCCUGGUAGAUUUGUUUCAAAUUUUGCUUAGAUAGAGAGAGGAGCUUGGACGGUGGAGGUGAGCGUUUAGAUAUUUACCAAACCUAUAACCUACCUGGGUCGCAAGUCCCAGGCACUGUUGAAGCUCCUCUCCUUGCAACGCGGUGGACCCGGCACGAACACGGUGAAUCCAUGGAAUGCUGAGAAGUUUUCGUCGUUCGAGGUCUAAGGCAUUGGAAAACAAAAUGAUACUAACCCGUUAUUAAUAAAAGUUCAGCUAUAACAAA